rnacentral:ncRNA from 1 species
AUUAACUUUUUUAAAUAUCAAUAUCUCCCAUCGACAUUUGGAUUCCUCAUGGUCGCCUCGGUGUUUUGUACCGAGGCUUUU